rnacentral:rRNA from 1 species
CCAUGCAUGUGUAAGUUCAGCUUGAAAAAGUGAAACCGCGAAUGGCUCAUUAAAUCAGUUACUAUCUACUAGUUAAUUCUCGCUUCAUAUGAAUAACUGCGGUAACCCUGCAGCUAAUGCAUGCAAUUUGGUUGUCCGAAAGGAAACAACUUUUACUAGAAACCGCCGGGUGGCCAUGCUUCGAGGUUCACAUCAGCGAUGAAUCAAAGUAACUGAAAGACCCCAGAUGACUCAGUCGGGGGGCGUAACUUUCGAAUUUCUGACCUAUCAACCUAUGACGGUAGUGUAACGGACUACCGUGGUUGUGACGGGUGACGGGGAAUCUGGGUUCGAUUCCGGAGAAGGAGCCUUAGAAACGGCUACUACAUCCAAGGAAGGCAGCAGGCACGCAAAUUACCCAAUCUCAGCUCGAGGAGGUAGUGACGAGAAAUAACGAUAUGAUCCUAAAAGGAUUGUAAUCGGAAUGGAAAUGAUUAAACUAAAAAUUCUCUUGAUGAACGAGUGAAGGGCAAGUCUGGUGCCAGCAGCCGCGGUAAUACCAGCCUUCACAAGCAUAUACAAAAGUUGCUGCGUUUAAAAAGCUCAUAGUUGGAUCUGUUUAAGUGUUACGGUAACAUCUAGUUGACUGCUACGGCGGGCUGCUAGCGUAAUGCUUAUCCUUCGCAUCGUAGAAACAUCUUGCACUUUAUUGUGUCGAGUUGUGGAAACGAGGUUUUCACUUUGAGUAAAUUAGAGUGUUCAAAGCGUCCUUUGGGAUUGAAUAAUAAAGCAUGGAAUAAUGGAGAAUGACCCGCUUUGCCUAAAAGCCGGUGGCUGGCAUGCGGUAAUGAUUAAAAGGAACAGCCGGGGACAUUUGUAUUGCUACGUUAGAGGUGAAAUUCUUGGAUCGUGGCAAGACAAACUACUGCGAAAGCAUUUGUCAAGAAUGUUUUCAUUAAUCAAGAACGAAAGUUAGAGUAUUGAAGAGGAUUAGAUACCCUCGUAAUUCUAACCAUAAACUAUACCAACUUACGAUUUGUCAUAGACCAACAUGUCUUGACAAGUAAUUAACCGGGAAACCAAAGUCUUUUGGUUCCGGGGGAAGUAUGGUUGCAAAAUCGAAACUUAAAGGAAUUGACGGAAGGGCACCACCAGGAGUGGAGCCUGCGGCUUAAUUUGACUCAACACGGGAAAACUCACCAGGUCCAGACAUUUUAAGGAUUGACAGAUUGAAUAUCUUUCAUGAUUAUAUGGGCGGUGGUGCAUGGCCGUUCUUAGUUAGUGGACUGAUCUGUCUGGCUAAUCCCGAUAACGAACGAGAUCUCACCCCAUUUAAAUAAUACAAGUUACAACAUGUAACUCUGUACUUCUUAGAGGUACUACGUGGAAUAUAAUACCACGAGUGGAGUGAGGCCAUAACAGGUCUGUGAUGCCCUUAGAUGUUCUGGACCGCACGCGCGCUACACUGUAUACGGACUCGUGUUAUGUGGUCCUGGACCGACAUGGUCUGGGUAAUCAUGUAAUCGUGUAGCUAUCAGGGGAUCGGCUAUUGUAACUAGUAGCUGUGAACCAGGAAUUCCUAGUAAUCAGAAGUCAACAACUUCUAGUGAUUACGUCCCUGCCCUUUGUACACACCGCCCGUCGCUACUACUGAUUGGACGAUUAAGCAAGAACUUCGGAACCUCGCUGUCAAGACUUCGGUCGAGGCAAUGAGCGGAUGAGAAUCAAGCUUAUUUGUCUAGAGGAAGUAAAAGU